AGAAUAGUAUGUAAAAGAGAGAAAAAUUUGUCUAUAAUCCCACUGCUCAUAAAUAUUUAGUACAGACUAACAUUUUGGUAUUUUCUCAUUAGUCUUUUUUCUGGGCUUUAUUGUUUUGGUAGUUGAGAUUAUACUUUAUUACAUAUAUUCAGUCUUUGUGGCCACCUUGUCUGGCCUUAAAAAUGUUUUAUAAAAUCCUGAAUUGUAUUAAAAUUGAGGGGUUUUGGCUAGGCACAGUGGCUAACGCCUGUAAUCUCAGCACUUUGGGAGGCAGAGGUGGGCAGAUCACCUGAGCUCAGGAGUUCAAGACCAGCCUGGCCAACAUGAUGAAACCCCAUCUCUACUAAAAAUACAAAAAUUAGCUGGGUGUGGUGGUGCAUGCCUGUAAUCUCAGCUACUCAGGAGGCUGAGGCAGGAGAAUUGCUUCAACCAGGGAGGUGGAGGUUGCAGUGAGCCCAAAUCGCACCACUGCACUCCAGCCUAGAUGACAGAGUGAGACUCCGUCUCAAAUAAAUAAAUAAAUAGAUAGAUAGAUAAAAUAAAUAAAAUUUAGGGGUUUUGUUUGUUUUGAUGUACUCAUCAUUUAAGAUGUUAAAAAGUAGAUUAAACUCUACAAAUAUUUUUCUAAUGUAAAUUCUCAUACCAGAUUCUAAUCCCUUCUAAUGAUACUCAUUAUAAUAUUUAGUAAACAAGAAAUUGACUUUAAUGUUGAGUUCUCCCUGAUGACAAUUUUUGCAAGUGAUUGCAGGGAACACAAUGCUACUAACUUAAUGGUCUCUUAACAACUAUGGUGAAAAAAAGUUCCCAAAAUAAUGUUCAAAAUGCUAAACAUAGGAUUACCAUAUGGCCCAGCGAUUUCUCUCAUGGGUGCGUUCCCCCAAAGAAUCGAAAACAGGGACUCAGACACUUGUAUGGCAACUUUAAUUGCAGCACUAUUCACAAGAGCCAAAAGGUGUCAACAACUCAGGUGAACAUCUGGAUAAACAAGACUCAGAUUGGUGGCCUUCCCAACCUAGCCUCGCUGAAUUAGCUGCCCCUCCUCUGGGUUCCCAGAAUACCAAACACACCCCUGCUUAAGAUCAAACAUGUCAAAUAAGGACCUGUUUAUCUCUCCCCUCUAUCUAGAUCAGUGCCUGACUCAGAACUAAGAAAGAAAGAUACUUGCUGAAUGACUAAAGGACCAGCUUUUUUUUUUUUUUUUUGUCAACGUUGACCAGGUUGACCUCGAAUGUGUAGCCUCGUCUCCCUGUGUGCCGGGACAUCCAGCCUGAGCCACCGUGGCUACCAAGAGCCACCUUCUUAAGCAAAAUCUUAUAGUGGCUUCCUGGUACCUACAGAAAAAAGAAAAAAACUUCAAAUUCUAGCACCUGGCUUAUGAACUACUUGAAGAGAAAGGUGGGGAGGUGGGCUGCCCUUCAGGUUUUCUGUUACCCAACCUUGUCUCCCAACAGCUCUCCCAGGAGACCUUUGUCUCAUGGUUUCCUGAAGAUGCAGGGAUGAACCAUCAGGCUCUGUACAUCUGCUCUGGGCCAGGUACUAUGUGAGAAGAAGUGUCAUUGGCCACCCUCGGUGGGCUUCCUUCUGACCCAAGCCUUGGCUUAUUCAUUCACCUCCCCAGUCUCUUCCCUCCCUGCCACUGAUCCACAUUCUACCUAUUUUUCCAUAUGGGCAUUUCUACCAAUAUUUUAAUUCACCUUUUUCCACUUCAAAUUCUUAACAUUUCUAGAACAGAGGUCUUGUAACUUUCCUUUUCACUAAUAGACUUGGAGGUUAAUUAUAGUCACCCUAUUAUGCUAUGGAACACUAGGUCUUACUCCAUGUAUCAAACUAUUUUUGUACCCAUUAAUCAUCUCCUCCUUAUCCGCCCCUCCCCACCACCCUUCCCAGCCUCGUAACCAUCAUGCUACUCUAGCUCCAUGAAUUCAAGUUUUGUGUUUUUUUUAAGCUCUCACAUAUAAGUGAGACCAUGUGAUAUUUGUCUCUCUGUGCAUGGCUUAUUUGACUUCACAUAAAGUCCUCCAGUUCUAUCCAUGUUGUUGCAAAUGACAGGAUUUCAUUAUUUUUAUGGCUGAAUAAUAGUCCAUUGUAUAUAUGCACCACAUUUCCUUUAUCCAAUCAAAAGGAAAGAGUGGAACUGGAAUGUUUCUUUUUUUCUUUUUCUUUUUCUUUUUUUUUUUGUUUGAGAUGGAGUCUCACCCUGUCGCCCAGGCUGGAGUGCAGUGACAAUCUUGGCUCACUGCAACCUCUGCCUUCUAGGUUCCAGCAAUUCUCCUGCCUCAGCCGUCCAAGUAGCUGGGAUUACAGGCACGUACCACGAUGCCCAGCUAAUUUUUGUAUUUUUAGUAGAGAUAGAGUUUCACCAUAUUAGCCAGACUGGUCUCGAACUCCUGACCUCAAGUGAUCCACCCACCUCAGCCUCCCAAGGUGCUGGGAUUAUAGGCGUGAGCCACCGUGCCCAGCUGGAACUGGAAUGUUUCUAACACAAAGAAAUAAUAAAUGCUUAAAGUGAUGCAUAUCCCAGUUACCCUGAUGUGAUCAUUACACAUUGUAUGCUUAUAUCAAAAUAUCAGUUGUUCCCCACAAAUAUGUACAACUAUUAUGUAUCCAUGAUAAUUAAAUAUAUAUAUAUGUGUAUAUAUAUAUAUAUUUUUUUGGCCAGGCGUGGUGGCUCAUGCCUGUAAUCUCAGCACUUAGGAAAGCUGAGGCGGGAGGAUCACUUGAGGCAAAAAAAAAAAAAA